rnacentral:lncRNA from 1 species
AUGGGAAAAGUGAAUAAAAGGGCGACGAGGCUAAUGCACCAGGAAGAAAGAGAGGAAAAAAACGUCACAAGUGAAUGCAGUUCUCGUGAGAGGUUUGUCAGAGAGGAGUUAAACAAUUGUGCUACCGUGAGGCGUGGGACUGGUGUUCCGACUCGGUCUGAAGCUUCCAGAUGUGCUUCUGAGUCCAUGAACUGGUGCGAUGCACUUUCACGUACCCUCUUCAUGCAGCUACCCAACUUAGAAAGCAUGGCUGAGAAAAAGGGGCAUCCUAGAGUCCCCCGACACUCUUCAGAAACCUUGCAAUCUGCCAAAUUUGGAGCUCCACAAAAUCUUCACUGAAAUUCUGAAGGCAAAGACCUGAAAACCAAGAAAGUCUGUGUUAUUUGAAGAAUUCCAUGUCUCCUCGGUCCCUGCUUGAGAGAGGUGUGACAGAAGACCGGACCAAACUGAAAGUGAGCGGUGCCUUUUCCCCCUGGUUUGUUUUUCACUUUUGAAAGUUUUGUUUUACUGUUUCUCCCCAUGGCCAUGGAGUUGGCCAAUGCCCGAGCUCGCUCCAGUGUCUGCUCCAGCCCCAAAACUCACUCCAAUGCCAGCUCCUUGAAAGUGCCGCAGUGCUUAUGCAUUUUCAGUUUCAUCAUGGCAGUGCUGAGAAGUCUUCUGCUUCUUACCAUUAUGUAUUCUGUUGUAAAUGCUUAUGGUAACCAAGACUUAUUUACCCUUGUAAAUGUACAAUAUGAUUAAACUGAAUUUUGUCAUGAUUAAUA